AUUGAACGCUGGCGGCAUGCUUUACACAUGCAAGUCGAACGGUAACAGGCCUUCUGGUGCUGACGAGUGGCGAACGGGUGAGUAAUACAUCUGAACGUGCCCAGAGGUGGGGGAUAACGCAGCGAAAGCUGUGCUCAUACCGCGUGUGAUCUGAGGAUGAAAGCGGGGGACCAGGCAGCAAUGUUUGCCCUCGCGCCUUUGUAGCGGCCGAUGUCUGAUUAGUUAGUUGGUGGGGUAAAGGCCUACCAAUCCGACGAUCUGUAGCUGGUCUGAGAGGACGACCAGCCACACUGGGACUGAGACACGGCCCAGACUCCUACGGGAGGCAGCAGUGGGGAAUUUUGGACAAUGGGCGCAAGCCUGAUCCAGCAAUGCCGCGUGCGGGAAGAAGGCCUUCGGGUUGUAAACCGCUUUUGUACGGAACGAAAAGGAUCUGGCUAAUACCUGGGGCUGAUGACGGUACCGUAAGAAUAAGCACCGGCUAACUACGUG
rnacentral:rRNA from 1 species